AGAAGAUGAUGACUUUCUGUGGCAAUAAGGAUUUUUACCAGGUCUUUAUUUGGUGCCCAAGAAUAAGACUUUUCUUGUGUUUCGGAUUUUCAAGAAAAUAAGAACACUCCUUAUAAGAAGCUGUUACCCAGCAUCAGAUCUCUGAAUGCAGCUGACUGAAAAGUGGGCUUUUGCAUGCAAGGUGGAAAUCCAUAUUCAGUUGAAGGUAGACCAAUUUGCUACUAAGUUCGUUUCUCCAGCCUGGGCUAUAAAAAAGCAGCAUCCUUUGGGAAGCAUUUCGCACUUACUGCAAUAUUCCAGCGAUGCCAAGACGAAAUCUCAGUGAGCUCCAUGCUUACUCAGGGACAUGGAUGAAGCUGGAAACCAUCAUUCUCAGCAAACUGACACAAGAACAGAAAACCAAACACCACAUGUUCUCACUCAUAGGUGAGUGUUGAACAAUGAGAGCACCUAAGUAGGUGUUGAUUUUUAUAAAUUAUACUUGUAUCCUCAAACCAUGUUGAAUUCUCUUAUUCUAAAAAUUUAUUUGCACAUUAUCUUGCUUUUUAUUGAAUAAUCAUAUUGUUUGUGAAUAGUGCCCAAUAGGGAGGGGAACA